rnacentral:misc_RNA from 1 species
AUCCAGGUAGAGGCACCAAACCCUGUUGUUCUCAUUGUUCAAGCUAAAUGUCAAUGUGAAUCUUCUUUAAUAUAAAAUUUAGCUACCUAAUUACACUACUUCAAUGCAAAAAUUUGUUCUUAAUCCACAGAUAAACACAAUUUCUGAUAUAUUAAUAUGUGCAUAUGCACUAAUGUUUACCUUGUCGACUUUGAUACCAGGGA